AAAAAAUUAGUUAAUUAUAAUAUUAAUUUGUCAGAUUAAAGUUAUUUAUAUAAAUAUUUUUUA
rnacentral:tRNA from 1 species